AGAUUCAACUUUCCCUUCAGAGCCUGGCUUUGGCAUCUAUGAAAGCCAGGCUCUGAAGGGAAAGUUGAAUCU
ensembl:miRNA